AUUGAACGCUGGCGGCAGGCCUAACACAUGCAAGUCGAGCGGAUGAAGGGAGCUUGCUCCUGGAUUCAGCGGCGGACGGGUGAGUAAUGCCUAGGAAUCUGCCUGGCAGUGGGGGAUAACGUCCGGAAACGGGCGCUAAUACCGCAUACGUCCUGAGGGAGAAAGUGGGGGAUCUUCGGACCUCACGCUAUCAGAUGAGCCUAGGUCGGAUUAGCUAGUUGGUGGGGUAAAGGCCUACCAAGGCGACGAUCCGUAACUGGUCUGAGAGGAUGAUCAGUCACACUGGAACUGAGACACGGUCCAGACUCCUACGGGAGGCAGCAGUGGGGAAUACUGGACAAUGGGCGAAAGCCUGAUCCAGCCAUGCCGCGUGUGUGAAGAAGGUCUUCGGAUUGUAAAGCACUUUAAGUUGGGAGGAAGGGCAGUAAGUUAAUACCUUGCUGUUUUGACGUUACCAACAGAAUAAGCACCGGCUAACUUCGUG
rnacentral:rRNA from 1 species